CUUGAAGGUCUGUUCCAACCUCCAAUUCUGUGAGUCUAUGAUUCUAAGUAAACUGUAGGAAACGUGGAGUCACUGGCAGAUGGACAGGGUUUUAAACACCCAAUCAAAACCAACCAAGAAGCCAGACAAAAAAUCCUGCAUCAGUCUGCCUUCUGCCUGUGGAUAAACUACUCAGUUUGACUAUUCAGGAUGCUUUGUGUUUGAACAUCUUCUGGUUUUCAUGGCUUUGAAACAAUUUUUAUCAUCUCCCUUGUGCACUUCAGAGGUGUUUCUUCCUCUUGCUUAUAAAAUACUGCUGCAGGCCACCACACACAUAUUGUCAGAACAUCUGAACUCCAAGGAAGAUGGUAAUUUAACUUCCCAGUUUUUAAAGCCUUAGAUUUAGUAGGUUUAGUAAACACCCAUUCUUCAAAUAUUGGUUCUCAGAGUGAUAUCCAAACCUGAGGCUACAACUGAAAUGAUAUCCAGCAAGGAUCUUGAUGAAGCAGGUUUAAAAAACAACAAAGCAAACAAGCAACCAACAAAACAAACAAACAACAAUGCAAAAAUAAUGGGAAACUACUACUUUCAAAAGAAUUUCAGAAGUAAAUUUGCCUUUAUUUAAAAAAGACAAAUUGCUGUUAGAGAAGAAAACAAAAUUAUACUAAAAAAAAAAAAAGAAAUCUUCA